GACGAGGGGUCCUAGCGUUGUUCGGAAUCACUGGGCGUAAAGCGUUUGUAGGCGGCUCUAUAAGUCGGGUGUGAAAUCCCACGGCUCAACCGUGGAAGUGCAUUCGAAACUGCAGAGCUUGAAUAUGGUAGAGGAGAGUAGAAUUCCUGGUGUAGUGGUGAAAUACGUAGAUAUCAGGAGGAAUACCGGUGGCGAAGGCGACUCUCUGGACCAAUAUUGACGCUGAGAAACGAAAGUGCGGGGAUCAAACAGG
rnacentral:rRNA from 1 species